GGUCAAGUUAUUAAGGGUGCAGGGCGGAUGCCUUGGCACUAGGAGCCGAUGAAAGACGUGAUAAGCUGCGAUAAGCUUCGGGGAGUGGCACAUACACUUUGAUCCGGAGAUUUCUGAAUGAGGAAACUCACUUGGAGUAAUGUCCAAGUAUCCUUAGGUGAAUACAUAGCCUAAGGAGGGGAACUCAGGGAACUGAAACAUCUAAGUACCUGAAGGAAGAGAAAGAAAUUCGAUUCCGCUAGUAGCGGCGAGCGAACGCGGAAGAGCCCAAACCAAGUUAGUUUACUAAUUUGGGGUUGCGGACAUAUCUUAAGGAGUAGUUAUUGCGAGUGGAAGAGUUCUGGAAAGUUCUACCACAGAGGGUAAUAGUCCCGUACACAAAGCCAAGAAGACUCUUGAUAUGAUCCAGAGUACCACGAGACACGUGAAACCUUGUGGGAAGCAGGGGGGACCACCCCCCAAGGCUAAAUACUACCUAGUGACCGAUAGCGUAUAGUACCGUGAGGGAAAGGUGAAAAGAACCCCGGGAGGGGAGUGAAAUAGAACCUGAAACCCUGCACUUACAAUCUGUGGGAGCGCAUUACUGGCGUGACCGCGUACUUUUUGUAGAACGGGCCAACGAGUUACGUUAUGUGGCAAGGUUAAGCACUUAAGGUGUGGAGCCGUAGCGAAAGCGAGUCUUAACUGGGCGACAUAGUCACAUGACGUAGACCCGAAACCGGGCGACCUACCCAUGAGCAGGAUGAAGCGAAAGUAAAAUUUCGUGGAGGUCCGAACCCACGUACGUUGAAAAGUGCGGGGAUGACUUGUGGGUAGCGGUGAAAUUCCAAUCGAGCUCGGAGAUAGCUGGUUCUCCUCGAAAUAGCUUUAGGGCUAGCCUUGAAUGUAGAGAUGUGGAGGUAGAGCACUGAAUGUCCUAGGGGGUAUUGCACUUACCGAAGACUAUCAAACUCCGAAUGCCAUAAUCUUUUAUUCAGGAGUCAGACUAUGGGUGAUAAGGUUCAUAGUCGAAAGGGAAAGAGCCCAGACCGUCAGCUAAGGUCCCUAAAUGUAUGUUAAGUGGUAAAGGAUGUGGGAUUGCAUAGACAACCAGGAUGUUGGCUUAGAAGCAGCCAUUCAUUUAAAGAGUGCGUAAUAGCUCACUGGUCGAGUGAUCCUGCGCCGAAGAUUUCCGGGGCUAAAACAUACUACCGAAGCUACGGCAUCGAAAGAUGGGUAGAGGAGCUUCCCAUGCAGGAUGAAGCAGUACCGUAAGGAGCUGUGGACAGUAUGGGAGAGAGAAUGUUGGCAUGAGUAGCGAGAUGAAGGUGAGAAUCCUUCAGGCCGUAAACCCAAGGUUUCCAGGGGAAGGUUCGUCCUCCCUGGGUUAGUCGGGACCUAAGCUCAGGCCGAAAGGCGUAGGCGAUGGACAACAGGUUGAAAUUCCUGUACUACCGAUAAUCGUUUGAGAGAUGGGAUGACACAGUAGGAUAAGCUGAGCACACUGUUGGUUAUGUGUGUCUAAGUAUUGAGGCAGAUCGAAUAGGCAAAUCCGUUUGAUUAAUGCUGGGAUACGAUGGGGAGCGAAACUAAGUAGCGAAGCAGCUGAUUUCACACUGUCGAGAAAAGUCUCUAUCGAGAUUAAAGGUACCCGUACCGCAAACCGACACAGGUGGGUGAGGAGAGUAUCCUAAGGCCAGCGAGAGAACUGUUGUUAAGGAACUCGGCAAAAUGACCCCGUAACUUAGGGAUAAGGGGUGCCCCAGAAAUGGGGCCGCAGAGAAUUGGCCCAAGCGACUGUUUACCAAAAACAUAGGUUUCUGCUAAGUCGCAAGACGAUGUAUAGGAGCUGACGCCUGCCCGGUGCUGGAAGGUUAAGGGGAUCUGUUAGAGCAAUCGAAGCAGUGAUCUUAAGCCCCAGUAAACGGCGGCCGUAACUAUAACGGUCCUAAGGUAGCGAAAUUCCUUGUCGGGUAAGUUCCGACCCGCACGAAAGGCGUAACGAUUUGGG
rnacentral:rRNA from 2 species